CGAUCCGCCGGGCCGGGCGGGUGCCGCUGCCGGUGCCGCAGCCCGCGGUGGGCCCGGUGGGGCGGCUGUUCCGGUCGGCCCGGAUCGUC
rnacentral:tRNA from 1 species